rnacentral:rRNA from 1 species
GACGUAGGAUGCGAGCGUUGUCCGGAUUUAUUGGGCGUAAAGAGUUCGUAGGUGGUUUGUUAAGUCUGAUGUUAAAGAUUGGGGCUCAACCCUGAAAAUGCAUUGGAUACUGGCAGACUUGAGUGUGGUAGAGGCUAGUGGAAUUCCCAGUGUAGCGGUGAAAUGCGUAGAUAUUGGGAAGAACACCGGUGGCGUAGGCGACUAGCUGGGCCAUAACUGACACUGAGGAACGAAAGCCAGGGUAG